GACGAGCCUCACAAACGUUAUUCGGAAUUACUGGGCUUAAAGGGUGCGUAGGCGGCGCGGAAAGUUGGGUGUGAAAUCCCUCGGCUCAACCGAGGAACUGCGCCCAAAACUACCGUGCUCGAGGAAGAUAGAGGUGAGCGGAACUUACGGUGGAGCGGUGAAAUGCGUUGAUAUCGUAAGGAACACCCGUGGCGAAAGCGGCUCACUGGGUUUUUUCUGACGCUGAUGCACGAAAGCUAGGGGAGCAAACGGG
rnacentral:rRNA from 1 species